CAAUCUUAAUCUUGAUCCUUUUAGGGUGCUUGUCUAGUAAGUCAAGCAGAACUUUAACCCUAGCCGUACUAGGUCGCGUUCUAUCUUGUGUCGCUUCAUCAACUGAUAAAAUGUUUUCCAAUCACAGAGGCUAUGGACAUUAAAGAUUUUUUUGCAAAACAAUUUGCUGGGAGAUCAGGUAAAGAUAUCCAAACCACUUCUUUGGACGUUUCUUCUCUUGGAUUAAAUCCAAUUGUCCAUGGAAAAGUUCUAAAGAAGAACUCAUCACCCUUAAAUUUAACAUGACCAGAUACUAGGUCGCAUUCUAUCUUGUGUCACUUUAUCAACUGCUAAAGGUUUUCCAAUCGCAGAGCCUAUGGACAUUAAAGAUGUUUUUGCAAAAAAAAAAUUGCUGGGAGAUCAGGUAAAGAUAUCCAAACCACUGCUUUGGACGUUUCUUCUCUUGGAUUAAAUCCAAUUGUCCAUGGAAAAGUUCUAAAGAAGAACUCAUCACCCUUAAGCUUAACAUGACAAGUAGAUUUUGACAUUACUUGUACAAAAUCUUCAUAAAUUUC
rnacentral:lncRNA from 1 species